UACGAGUGCCCCAAGCGUUAUCCGGAAUCAUUGGGCGUAAAGGGUGUGUAGGUGGUCAUGUUAGUCUUCUGUUAAAUUCUUCGGCUUAACCGGGGGCAUGCAGGGGAAACGGCAUGACUAGAGGAUGCGAGAGGUGUGUGGAACUCUAAGUGUAGGGGUGAAAUCCGUUGAUAUUUAGGGGAACACCAAAAGCGAAGGCAGCACACUGGCGCAUUCCUGACACUGAGACACUAAAGCGUGGGUAGCGAAUGGG
rnacentral:misc_RNA from 1 species